UAUCUCUGUAGAGUCUGCAUAUCAAUAAGCGGAGGAAAAGAAACUAACUAGGAUUCCCUCAGUAACGGCGAGUGAAGCGGGAAGAGCUCAAAUUUGAAAUCUUCAAGGUUUUACCUUGACGAAUUGUAGUUUAAAGAAGUGUUUUCUGUUGGAGUUUUGGUAAAAGUUCUUUGGAAUAGGACAUCAUAGAGGGUGAGAAUCCCGUAUUUGACCAUUAUUUCCAGCUUUGUGAUACACUUUCAAAGAGUCGGAUUGUUUGGGAAUGCAGUCCAAAAUGGGUGGUAAAUUUCAUCUAAAGCUAAAUACUGGCGAGAGACCGAUAGCGAACAAGUACCGUGAGGGAAAGAUGAAAAGAACUUUGAAAAGAGAGUUAAACAGUACGUGAAAUUGUCAAAAGGGAAGCGUUUGACACCAGUGUUGUUUUCUCGAAAAUCAAUUAAAAAUGGCGGGAUUUUGUGUUGUAUUGACUUUAUCAGCUUUCUGCACUUUUUUCCUGUCUUUUUUAAUGCACUUUUCGUUUAACAAGUCAACAUCAAUUUCUUUUGUUGUAAAAGGGUCAUUGGAAGGUGGCUUUCUUUUCGGAGAAAGUGUUUAUAGCCUUUGGCCUCUGCAAUCGGAGGGAUUGAGGUCUGCAGCGUAGAUCCUUCGGGGUUAGAUACAUUUGUGCUAAGUUAUAGCCUUUCAUAGACAACUUGUUGACUAUGAUCAGUCAUGUAGCUUACUCGCUUUUGAAAUUUUACCUACGCUUAGGAUGUUGAGUCAUCACACAUCUCU
rnacentral:rRNA from 1 species